UACAGCAGAUAUAUAUUAGUUCUAAAGGAACACCUAGGACAAAAUGCAAGUCUAACUAUAUACACGUAAUACGGAUACAAGUGAUAUGAAAGAAAUGUUACCCAAUCUUGUCCUGACCGGAGGAGGUCUGGGAGGAAGAGUGGGUGGGUUUACUGGUGGUACAGGAGUUGGUGGCUUGACUGGUGGUGCUGGAGUUGGGACCUGGACCGGUGGUGCUGGGCUGGGUGCCUUGAUUGGAGGUGCUGGUGGUUUAGUGACUGGAGGUGAAGGGGUUGGUGGUUUACUGACUGGAGGUGAAGGGGUUGGUGGCUUACUGACUGGGGGAGCAGGAGUUGGUAGAUUGACCGGAGGUACUGGUGGUUUAGUGACUGGUGGCGCAAGAGUUGGUGGCUUACUGACUGGGGGUACAGGAGUUGGUGGCUUGACCGGAGGUGCUGGAUGAGGAUCCUUUAUUGGAAUAUUUGCUGGAGGUGGUGCUGCUACUGGGACCUUUGGCAAAUAAGGAACCUGCAACAAAAUAAAAACUUCCAUUAAAUAAACAUAUCGAAUAGAUUAAGUUUAAAAUAUUGUAUAACUGAUUGUAAUUUAUCUCCAUAAAACCAUUUAAAACAGAAAAAAGAAAAAAAUAAUUCUCUUUCUUGCUACAAUAUUAAAUAGCAUAUUUUGUAAAUAAACAAAAGGGUUUGCUUAAAAGGGUGUAGUGUGCUAAAGCUUCUGACUCAUCCUUUACAAAAUACCAAAGUUUCAGAACAACUAUACAUACAACCCAUGUUCAUAUUAAAAAUCUUCACUAGAAUGAGAAGAAAAUGAAAUCAGCAGCAAACAUUUUAAUUUGUUACAACUUACAGGUAUCUUCAAUUCCUCCUCAUUGGACCCAAUCUGCAAAGAAACAAAGACAUUAAGCCACCAAAAAAAAAAAAACUGACUAUAUUUUGCUGAGGCAGAGAAAAAAGAGAAGGAGAGAGAGAGAGAGAGAGAGAG
rnacentral:lncRNA from 1 species